rnacentral:rRNA from 1 species
UACGGAGGGGGCGAGCGUUGUCCGAAGUUACUGGGCGUAAAGCGCGCGUAGGCGGGUUGGUAAGUCCGCUGUGAAAGCCCGGAGCUCAACUCCGGAGGGUCGGUGGAUACUGCCAGUCUUGAAGGUGCUAGGGGGAGAUGGAAUUACCGGUGUAGCGGUGAAAUGCGUAGAUAUCGGUAGGAACACCAGUGGCGAAGGCGGUCUCCUGGGGCAUUCUUGACGCUGAUGAGCGAAAGCUAGGGGAGCAAACGGG